rnacentral:tRNA from 1 species
GGGGAUACAGCUCAGUGGUAGAGUGCUUGCCUAGGAUGCACGAAGCCCUGGGUUCCAUCCCCAGCACCA